GACGAACGCUGGCGGCGUGCUUAACACAUGCAAGUCGAACGGAAAGGCCCUGCGUUUGUGGGGUGCUCGAGUGGCGAACGGGUGAGUAACACGUGAGUAACCUGCCCUUGACUUUGUGAUAACUUCAGGAAACUGGGGCUAAUACCGGAUAGGAGCUCCUGCUGCAUGGUGGGGGUUGGAAAGUUUCGGCGGUUGGGGAUGGACUCGCGGCUUAUCAGCUUGUUGGUGGGGUAGUGGCUUACCAAGGCUUUGACGGGUAGCCGGCCUGAGAGGGUGGACGGCCACAUUGGGACUGAGAUACGGACCAGACUCCUACGGGAGGCAGCAGUGGGGAAUAUUGCACAAUGGGCGGAAGCCUGAUGCAGCAACGCCGCGUGCGGGAUGACGGCUUUCGGGUUGUAAACCGCUUUCGCCUGUGACGAAGAGUGAGUGACGGUAAUGGGUAAAGAAGCACCGGCUAACUACGUG
rnacentral:rRNA from 1 species